rnacentral:pre_miRNA from 1 species
ACCAACAGGGGAUCUUGUUAAAAUGCAGAUUCUGAUUAAGUGAACCUGACAUGAAGUCUGAGGUUUUGCAUUUCUAACAAGCUCCCAGGUGAUGCCCA